UUCCUAUAUUUUUAUUCAAUAGGAAUGGGAUACGUUUACAGGUGUGGUUGUUGGAGACAUGUUACGGAAAGCUGACUCUCAACAAAAAAUACGUGAUCAGCUUCCGUCUUGGAUAGAUCAGGAACGAAGCUGGGCCGUGGCAACAUUAAAGAUUGCUCUCCCCAGUCUUUAUCAGACCCUCUGCUUUGAAGAUGCAGCUCUGUGGCGUACUUAUUAUAAUAAUUCAAUGUGUGAGCAAGAGUUUCCAUCUAUCCUUGCAAAGAAAGUUUCCUUAUUUCAGCAGAUUCUUGUAGUACAGGCGCUAAGACCGGACAGAUUGCAAAGCGCCAUGGCUCUUUUUGCAUGUAAAACUCUGGGUAAGUGUGAUGCUUUUCAAGAACUAGACCACUGACCUGAAUUAUUUGUUUUUAAUUUACCUUUCAUUUUAUGUUAGCCUGAGUUUAGAAAUGUUAUAAUGUCUCUUUUAUUCAUUCUGUUUAUUUAUCUUCCAAUCUC
rnacentral:sRNA from 1 species